CCACUUUUAAUAUAAUAUGAUAUAUGAUAUGAUAUGAUGAUAUAUGAUGAUGUUGUGCUCAUCAUCAAACACAUAGCUUUAUAUUUAAGCUUCAUAGAGAAUCUAUAUUUUUUAAAAGAUAAUCAGGGAUAACGAUCACAAGUUUUAGGAAAUAAGUGCAACUUCCAUUGUCAGAAUAAUUAGAUGUUAUAUAAUUCUAUAUUUCUUGGAUAGCGACCAGACAACUACACAGGGCAAUGCUUGAUGUAAGAGCUUCAGAUAUACAUUUGCAGGGUGUUUAUCCAACGAAUGUGGAUUUUGAAGGGUGAGUACGACAAGUCUGGUCCAUCCAUUGUCCACAAGAAGUGCUUCUAAGUGAACUCAGGUCUGCUGUUAUAGGCAUGUCUUCAAGAUGGGGCUAUACCGUUGAUACUAUUUCAUGUUUCCAGUGCAAGCGUCUUUUGUAAGUAGAUAAAGUCGAUUUGUAAAUAUGUUUGGGACUCAACUAGUGGU